rnacentral:sRNA from 1 species
AGACGCGCUCCGGCGGCGGGUCCGAGGCCGGCGUGCGCGGAGGCUGGGCGGGCAGCCCGAGCGGUGGCCGCAGCGCAGUGCCCCCACUCCCAAUUCCCGCCCCAAGCCGCCCACCAGCCCCCUUCCCCUCCGGCCGGAGCCUGAACCGAGCCCGGCUGGCUGUGCUGCGCGGUGCCGCCGGGAAAGAUGGUCGUGGCGCUGCGGUACGUGUGGCCUCUCCUCCUCUGCAGCCCCUGCCUGCUUAUCCAGAUCCCCGAGGAAUAUGAAGGACACCAUGGUAAGUUGGGGAGGGGUGAGAGUGUUUCCCAGAAGGCCAAGGAGAGGGGUAAGGAGGCCCUCGGCUGAGCCUGCACCCCUACCCUCCUGAGUGCCGGGGCCCUGCUCGGCUUUCCCUGAGCACCAUGUGCUUCUCUCACCUGUGCGGGGCUGGCUUUGUUCUGUCUCUGCCCCAGCCUGGGUACUCUGUCACCCUCACUGUUCCUCUCUGCCAUUCUCUCUGGUCCCUUCUCCCCUGUCUGGGGUUUGUCCUUCUUGGUUUCUGUGUCUUGGCUUUUGU